AACUAUCCAGGGCCAUACCUACUCCUACCCAACUACAAGAACUGAAGGCCAUUUUUUUUUAUUAUAUUUAAAUUUUAAGUAAAAUUCUCAAAAAUCAUUUUUCUUGUUUUUCCAUUAUUUUCUUUUGUUCAGUAGGAAGGCGUUCCACUGACAAUGGCGACCUUGCCAGGAUCCGACUCUUGAAGCAACAUCGUCCUGAUGGUUCAACUGGUUGUGAGUAUAACAUUUAAGAUAGAAAAGGCUCUGUUCCUGGCGUGGUCUUCCAGGAUAGACGCCAGAUAAAGGGGCAAGACGUGUGUUAAUAAUACUUAUUAACAUUAUUCUACAACUACCGGCCCUUACCUAUUCUACUUGUGCUCCAUCCAAGUGGUAGGAGAUUCCAGAACAUCGGAUUACCAUCUUCCCAGGAUAACCUACAUAAAUAACAUCAGAGGAACUAUCCAGGGCCAUACCUACUCCUACCCAACUACAAGAACUGAAGGCCAUUUUUUUUUAUUAUAUUUAAAUUUUAAGUAAAAUUCUCAAAAAUCA